UGCGCAGGUGGGCUUGUAAGUCAGUGGUGAAAUACUGCCGCUUAACGGUAGAACUGCCAUUGAUACUGCAAGUCUUGAGUAUGGUUGAGGUAGGCGGAAUGUGUUGUGUAGCGGUGAAAUGCAUAGAUACGACACAGAACUCCAAUUGCGAAGGCAGCUUACUAAGCCAUUACUGACGCUGAGGCACGAAAGCGUGGGGAGCGAACAGGAUUAGAUACCCUGGUAGUCC
rnacentral:rRNA from 1 species